rnacentral:rRNA from 1 species
GACAGAGGUGCCAAGCGUUAGGCGGAAUCACUGGGCUUAAAGCGUGUGUAGGUGGAUUUGUAAGUACCUUGUGAAAUCCCAUGGCUCAACCAUGGAACUGCUCGGUAUACUGCGAAUCUUGAGCCACUUAGGGGCUACCGGAACAAAUGGUGGAGCGGUGAAAUGCGUAGAUAUCAUUUGGAACGCCAAUGGUGAAAACAGGUAGCUGGGAGUGUGCUGACACUGAGACACGAAAGCCAGGGUAGCGAACGGG